rnacentral:rRNA from 1 species
AGUGAACGCUGGCGGUAGGCCUAACACAUGCAAGUCGAACGGCAGCACAGUAAGAGCUUGCUCUUACGGGUGGCGAGUGGCGGACGGGUGAGGAAUACAUCGGAAUCUACUUUUUCGUGGGGGAUAACGUAGGGAAACUUACGCUAAUACCGCAUACGACCUACGGGUGAAAGCAGGGGAUCUUCGGACCUUGCGCGAUUGAAUGAGCCGAUGUCGGAUUAGCUAGUUGGCGGGGUAAAGGCCCACCAAGGCGACGAUCCGUAGCUGGUCUGAGAGGAUGAUCAGCCACACUGGAACUGAGACACGAUCCAGACUCCUACGGGAGGCAGCAGUGGGGAAUAUUGGACAAUGGGCGCAAGCCUGAUCCAGCCAUACCGCGUGGGUGAAGAAGGCCUUCGGGUUGUAAAGCCCUUUUGUUGGGAAAGAAAAGCAGCAGAUUAAUACCCCGCUGUUCUGACGGUACCCAAAGAAUAAGCACCGGCUAACUUCGUG